rnacentral:rRNA from 1 species
CAGCAGCCACGGGAAUACGAAGGGGGCUAGCGUUGUUCGGAUUUACUGGGCGUAAGGGGUGCGUAGGCGGAUUGUUAAGUCAGGGGUGAAAUCCCGAGGCUCAACCUCGGAACUGCCUUUGAUACUGGCGAUCUUGAGUCCGGGAGAGGUGAGUGGAACUGCGAGUGUAGAGGUGAAAUUCGUAGAUAUUCGCAAGAACACCGGUGGCGAAGGCGGCUCACUGGCCCGGUACUGACGCUGAGGCACGAAAGCGUGGGGAGCAAACAGGAUUAGAUACCCCCGUAGUCCCUGUCUCUUAUAC